rnacentral:rRNA from 1 species
UGGGGAAUUUUGGACAAUGGGCGCAAGCCUGAUCCAGCCAUGCCGCGUGCAGGAAGAAGGCCUUCGGGUUGUAAACUGCUUUUGUCAGGGAAGAAAUCCUUUGGGCUAAUACCCCGGAGGGAUGACGGUACCUGAAGAAUAAGCACCGGCUAACUACGUGCCAGCAGCCGCGGUAAUACGUAGGGUGCGAGCGUUAAUCGGAAUUACUGGGCGUAAAGCGUGCGCAGGCGGCUUUGCAAGACAGAUGUGAAAUCCCCGGGCUCAACCUGGGAACUGCAUUUGUGACUGCAAGGCUAGAGUGCGGCAGAGGGAGAUGGAAUUCCGCGUGUAGCAGUGAAAUGCGUAGAUAUGCGGAGGAACACCGAUGGCGAAGGCAAUCUCCUGGGCCUGCACUGACGCUCAUGCACGAAAGCGUGGGGAGCAAAACAGGAUUAGAUACCCUGGUAGUCCAACGCCCUAAAACGAUGUCAACUGGUUGUUGGACGGCUUGCUGUUCAGUAACGAAGCUAAACGCGUGAAGUUGACCGCCUGGGGAGUACGGCCGCAAGGUUGAAACUUAAA